AGUGAACGCUGGCGGCGUGCCUAAUACAUGCAAGUCGAACGGAGUGGCGCACGGGUGAGUAAUGUAUAGCUAAUCUGCCCUACACUAGAGGACAACAGUUGGAAACGACUGCUAAUACUCUAUAGUGUAGGAUGAGGCUAUAUUGUAUCAGCUAGUUGGUGAGGUAAUGGCUCACCAAGGCUAUGACGCAUAACUGGUCUGAGAGGAUGAUCAGUCGCACUGGAACUGAGGCACGAUCCGGACACCUACGGGAAGGAGCAGAAGGGUGUAUUGCUCAAGGGGGGAAACCCUGAAACGGCAUCGCCGCGUGAAGGAUGACACUUUUCGGAGCAGAAGCUCCUUUUGUUAGGGAAGCGGUACCUAACGAAUAAGCACCGGCUAACUCCGUGCCAGCAGCCGCGGUAAUAC
rnacentral:rRNA from 1 species